GACGAACGCUGGCGGCGUGCUUAACACAUUCAAGUCGAACGGAAAGGCCUUUUCGGAGGUACUCGAGUGGCGAACGGGUGAGUAACACGUGGGUGAUCUGCCCUGCACUCUGGGAUAAGCCUGGGAAACUGGGUCUAAUACCGGAUAGGACCGCACUUUAGUGUGUGUGGUGGAAAGUUCUUUCGGUGUAGGAUGAGCCCGCGGCCUAUCAGCUUGUUGGUGGGGUAAUGGCCUACCAAGGCGGCGACGGGUAGCCGGACUGAGAGGUUGGUCGGCCACAUUGGGACUGAGAUACGGCCCAGACUCCUACGGGAGGCAGCAGUGGGGAAUAUUGCACAAUGGGCGCAAGCCUGAUGCAGCGACGCCGCGUGGGGGAUGACGGCCUUCGGGUUGUAAACUCCUUUCGCCAGGGACGAAGCGUUUUGUGACGGUACCUGGAGAAGAAGCACCGGCUAACUACGUG
rnacentral:rRNA from 1 species